AGAAGAGCCACCGCGCGCGCUCCCGCUAAUUCGCGACCACACCCCUGUCUACUUCCAUGUCCAAUAGGUGCGAGAGGGCGGGACGGCCUCGUUCUGACUCCGGGAGGCUAUAUAAGGAGCUACUGGCUGCGCACUUCGGUCUUUUACGUCGGCCUUCGCGAGCGUCUGGGCGGGUGGUAGGAACAAUGGCGCUGUCUUCAGUGGCACAGUGGAGCAGCUCUGAAGAUGCAAAGAUACACGAAAAAACUUCCAGAACAUCUGGGAGAAUAUUUAAUGGAAAAUCGCUUGGUUAAAACCUGACACUUUUAACAGUGAACAGCGUUCUGAGUGUGGACGAGUAGCCAGUGAAGAUAAUGAAUGUCGAAUGUGACUGACUAGCAGCUUCAUUUUGAAUGAGGGUCGCUGUCUGCCCAUUGAUAGAGGCCAGAUUGUCUUGGAAGUUCCAAAGUUGCAACGAUUUCUGGCUAGUGCCACGAGGUUUACUUGACUGUUGUGUGAAAAGCUGAUAAGAAAACCAUCCAGAAAAAAGCUCUUCGUUUUACAAACAUGAAAAUAAAACAUUUAGUUGAAUCCAUGGACAUGAAACCCACAGAUAUAGAGGGUUGGCCCGGUGCAGUGGCUCACGCCUGUAAUCCCAGCACUUUGGGAGGCCAAGGCGGGUGGAUCACCUGAGGUCAGAAGCUUGAGACCAGCCUGGCCAACAUGGGUACUGCUUUCUCUUGCUGCAGCUUGCUUCCUCCCUCAGGUAUGAAGUUAAGCGUCUCGCUCUGUCACCCAGGCUGGAGUGCAAUGGCGUGAUCUCGGCUCACUGCAACCUCCGCCUCCCAGGUUCAAGGGAUUCUCCCGCCUCAGCCUCCCGAGUAGCUGGGACAACAG
rnacentral:lncRNA from 1 species